rnacentral:rRNA from 1 species
UACGAAGGGGGCUAGCGUUGCUCGGAAUCACUGGUCGUAAAGGGUGCGUAGGCGGCGCGGUAAGUAGGGUGUGAAAUCCCUCGGCUCAACCGAGGAACUGCGCUCUAAACUACCGUGCUUGAGGGAGGUAGAGGUGAGCGGAACUUAGGGUGGAGCGGUGAAAUGCGUUGAUAUCCUAAGGAACACCGGUGGCGAAAGCGGCUCACUGGAUCUCUUCUGACGCUGAGGCACGAAAGCUAGGGUAGCGAACGGG